GGUGAUUCCCGGGUGAUGCACCCCAGAAUUGGACUCCCUCCUCUCUAUUCUGAGUGCAUCGCCUGAGAACUGCA
rfam:Myotis davidii contig321366, whole genome shotgun sequence.